rnacentral:piRNA from 1 species
UCUAAAGAUGGAAACUGGCCAAGGACAGGAC